UUUUUUUAUAUUCACUUAUUUUGUACUUCAUUGAAUUACUACACAAUUAAGAAGAAUGUGUUAAUGAUAAAGCAUUAUCAACAAUAGAUUUUUUAAGUAUCGUAUCAUUGCAAUUGUACAAAGUGUAAAAUUGUAAAAUUGUAAACUAACAAUAAAACAUAGCGAUUUUAGCGCACCUAUGUAUUAUAAGAAAAUAAUUAAAAUAUUUUCUAUAUAUAUUACUUUACCUUACAACGUAUAUCUAUAAUAUUGUGUUUUUGUACAUUCCAUUUAUUUUAUCUCUAUACAAAAGUGUCUAACUUUGAACAUAUCGUGACAGUAGGUAUAAAUAAUAUUUUAUACCAAUGUCCUGUCAAAUAAAAACAAUUGGCAAUUUGAAAGAUUUGAACAAAGUCAGGGAAAUACUUUCUGGAGAUGCUGUUACUAGAUCUGAACCUGUUGCAAGUCAUGAAUUACCUUUACAAGAUUGUUUCAUUUCACUUUCAUCUGCCGGUGAUGUUCUUGCACUGGCACAAAAUACUAAAAUGAUCAUACUGAUUUCGAAAUGGGAUUCGCAGGAGCCAAGUGAAUCAAAAAAUAAAUUUCAUAUCGUAUGGAAUGGAAUAGUUACAGAAAAUCAAAACGAAUGGAUUACUUCGAUAAUAUGUUUACCUCUGAUUUCACUGGGUAAAAUUAGUGCAGGUACCAGUCCUGAUUGGACAUGCAUCGCUGUAGGAUUUAAUAAUGGCAUUUUGAGAUUUUAUACAGAAACAGGUGCAUUAUUAUUAGAACAGCAGCUUCAUAACGAGCCGAUUCUUGGAAUAAAAUGCCAGUCAUCUUCUUUUCAUAGACACUCAAUGAAUAAACAACCAUUAGAAGAAUUGUAUAUAAUUUAUAGAAGUAUUAUAUGUAUACUGCAAGGAUUUCCAUUAUUUACAACUUUACGUGCAUGCAGAAAUCAUUUAGCUAGAGUACAAGCUAAAUGUAACGAUGUAUCUCCAGCUACUACCUUGUCGUACAAGAAAUGGGAAUUUAGAAAUCAAGAUAUCACAAAUGAUGCUGAAAUUAUUGGUACAACAUCUGUAAACAGUUUUAAUCAUUUAAUGACUGCUUCCUUAUGUGGUGGUUACAAUGCAUUAUAUAGAUCUAGUGCUCCACAACACAAUCUUGUUAUGGCUACUGGUAAAAGACCAUUCAUUGGUUUUCAUUAUGCAUUAGAAGGAGGUAAUGCUCCUGUUUUAUCCGAUGUUGCUGCUGCAAUGGCCAGUAAAUUGGUAAACGCUAUUGGAACAGCUGUUCCUUGGUUUAGAAGUAAUUCAAAAACUUCUGCAUCACUUGACAUUUCUAAAAAUAAUGGUCAAGAGUCUACUGAAACAUUGAGCUGUAGGUACAGCAUAAGUGACCUGAUGAGAGAGGGUGACUCGAUUGUUUGUAGUCCAAAUAAGAUGUUAUCAGCUGUAACAGAUGCAAUGGGUAGAGUAACAUUAGUAGAUAAUAAAAGAGGUGUUGCAGUAAGAAUGUGGAAAGGAUAUCGUGAUGCACAAUGUGGAUGGAUUGAAGUUGAAGAAAUCAAACACUCUGGAAUACAUAAAAGUUCUAAUAGAAAUGCACGUACAUCAAACAAUCGCAACACAUUGUUUUUAGUUAUUUAUGCUCCAAAGAAGGGUGUAAUAGAUAUAUGGGGAAUUCAACAGGGUCCCAAAAUUACAACCUUCACUGCCAGUAAAAAUGGACGACUGCUGUAUAUCAAUUAUGGCCUGCUAGGUAUGAAUGAAACUGCAAACUUAACCAAAAAUGAUGCACAACAUGCUUGUGUAUUUAUGGAUCCCCUUGGAGGAUUAAAAGAAAUAAUUGUUCCGUUUCACUUUGCUCUGAGUAGUAAAAAUGCUAAAAAAGCAUGCGAUAUAUAUCUUCUUCGUAAAUUGAAAAAUUUUCUAAGAGAGGAAGAUUUUGAUAAGGAGAAAUUAAUUACAGAAGUUCGUAAUGCAUGCUUAGCUAUGAAAACAAAUGAAGUUAAAUUGCAAACAUUGGAAUUAUUAAUGAAUACUAAGGAUAUCUUACCUGAUGCAUUACUAAUUGCUGUUAAUUCUAUUGAUAAAAUGUUCGAUGAAUCUGAUCCAAAUAUGAUGGAUUCAGUAGCAAAAGUUCUACAUAAAUUAAUUGUGCAAUUACAAAAAAUAAUAGCAUUUUAUAUAUUCAUUAAUAGUUGUAAUUUAGAAAAUACAGUAAAAUCAAUUGAUUCAACUGAUAAUGAAAAAUCAAAUAUUGAAAUGCUAGCUUUAACAUUGUUAAUUUCUGAACACGAAGUUGAUAGAAUAUUAACGUUACAUAAAACAAUAUAUGAUAUAGGAAAUGACAAUAUUAAAUCGGAAAGUAAAGUAAAAUUUAAUGAUAAUGAAAGACAGUUUUUUAAUUUUUUAACAUGUUUUGAUUUUGGUGUAUCAAAUUUGGCAGUUUUACAAAAAGAUAUUACAUUAGAAAAAAAAUACCAAAUUGCUGUAUUGAUUUUUGAAAAGUGUAUGACUUCCCAUGAAACUAUUGAGACAUGGAAAACUGCAGCUGCAAAUAGUAAUAUUCAGCCAAAUGUUUUUAUGCAACUUGCAUUAAUUUAUUGGAUGUACAAAGAGGAUGAUAGAAAUUUAGAAUUAACAUUGACACAAUUCACACAGUUAUUGCAUGCUAUAUGUUCUUUAAAUAGUAUAGAAGAAAUAUGUGUAGAUUAUAAUGAGAGUUCUUUAUGGUGGAAAGAUGUACGUACUGUUUUAACUGAAUCUUUAAAUCCUUUACAUGCAUAUACAGCAGCAUUAGCAUGUAGAGCAGUUGCUGUAACAUUAGAAAAAUAUAAAGACAAAACAUAUAAUACUACAGAAGAAACUUGUGAUGAUGAUGAUAAUAAUAAGAAUGAUACUGAUGAUGAUAAUGAUCCACAAUUAAAAGUAGACAAAAGUAGUGAAAAAUCUAAUCUUGUAGCACAUGAAGAAGUAUAUAGUUCUAUAAAUGAAUGGGAAAAUAUAAGUAAGGAUACAUGUCAAUUCUCUUUACUAAUAGGAAAUCUUGAAGAUGUUAUGGUUUUAAAUGCAGUUGUAAGGCAACGACUUUUGGGAGAUCCUCCAAAUGACUUUUUUAAAUUACCUUUUGAAUUGCAAAAUAUUUCUUUGGGAAUGAUUUUAUCUAAUGGAAAAGGUUCUGUUUCUGAAAUUGUUGCAAAAUGGUUAAGUUCAACAGGCGUACAUCCUGCACAAUUGGUAGAUUUGACUGACAUCGAAUUUGAACAAUCUAAUUUGGAGGAGAAUGUAGUACCUGAAAAAGAAAUAUCUACUGUUAAUUUACAAGAGGAUGCAAUAGUAUUAUCUUCUUCACCUGUAGUAAAUCAAACGGAGUCAAAUACAAAUGCAACAGCACAAGCGUGGGUGCUAGAAAAAUUGUCUUUGUUGAAACAUCACUUUCCAUAUAGUUUAACAAGCAGCGUACUUCUUGCAAAUUUAUGUUGGGAAUUUGCUAUGGCUUGGAAUAAAAAUGUCUCGAAAUUAGAAAAUCUUGAUGCAGCUUUAACUGUUUUGCGUCACAUACCUAUGAAACACAUGCAACAUGGUGUCUGUUGUCUCUUAUGGACAUUAUAUAUAAAAAAAAGGAUGGAAGCAGCUGGAAAAAUCAUGAAUAAACUAGGUAAACUGCCAAAGGAAAGAUUAUCUUUACAAGAAACUGGACUUUCUGACAAACAAUUAAUUACAUUUUUGGAAUAUUGUGUUACAUUUUUUGAUAUAUUCAGCGAUGCUGAAUUGCUGCAAACAAAUACCGUGUUACUUAAAUCAGAAGAAUUAUGGGAAGGUCAAUCUGGACCACAACCAUUUGCAUUUUCAGCUCUAUUACAAACACCUGCAUGGUAUGAAUUAAUUAUCCUACAUUUGCAGAUAGCUAAUGUUUUAUAUAUGAUGGCAAAUUUCAACCUGAAGAUAUCAAAGCCUCUAAAUAAUUUAUUUGAAUCAGUGACUCAUCCAUACUUUUUUCAAGAUAUAUCAGAUAAAAUAAUGUUUACUUGGAAUCACGAUGAUAGAAAAGAUAGCUUACGUUUAGAAUUUUUACGUCAUGUAAUUACAGCUUCCAUGGAUUUCAUUCAUCAAGAAACUGUAGAUGGUAAAACAUUAAGUUCUACACAAGCUGUACUUUGGAUGAGCAGGUGUCAAACACUGGGUUCUAUGUGGAAAUUAAAUAGUGAUGAAUUAAGAAUUCAUCAAGCUUGUCAACUUUAUAUCAAUGGAUUUGAUCGAUUAGCAGAAGAGGUUGUUGGAGCUGUGAAUGAUACUGAUAAAUUAGCAUCAGAUUUAUUGCCUAUAGCUGGAAGAAGAAUGAUGGCAUAUCUUUCAAAAUCACCAGAUUUAUUAGAAGAAGUUUCACGAAUAAGUACAACACUUCAUAAAUAUCUUGAAAGUUUAAAUAUGUCAGAAUUAAUUCUAACUAACUGUUCCAACAAUGAUACCAUAGAAUUAAUUCACAAAGUAUCGAGAUAUUUACCUGACACUCACUCUGAAUUUCAUGUAAUACAACGGAUGUUAGAUGCUACUUUUAUAUUUCAAGAUAAAACGUAGUGUUGGAUAAAAUAUUGACAUUGUGAAUAACUAGGUCAUACUCAUGGGUUAUUAUAUUAUAGAAAUAAAGUAUUAUAACCAGUAACUUUCAAAAUGAUAAUCUUUCGUAAAUGAUUAUAUUAAUUAGACAAAAUUGACAUUGGCAAAACUUUAAAUAGAAGAUUCCUAAAUUGAAAUGAACGUCAUUUAUAUAGAAUAAAAUAAAAUCAAAAAAUAUAUAUCUUCACUUGUAAUAUUAACAAGCUUUAUUU